UGGGGGAUAUUGCACAAUGGGCGAAAGCCUGAUGCAGCGACGCCGCGUGGGGGAUGAAGGCCUUCGGGUUGUAAACUUCUUUUGCUCUGAACAAGGCGCACCAUGGGGUGUGUUGAGUGUAGGGGUUGAUUAGCGCCGGCUAACUACGUGCCAGCAGCCGCGGUAAUACGUAGGGCGCGAGCGUUGUCCGGAAUUAUUGGGCGUAAAGGGCUUGUAGGUGGCUGGUUGCGUCUGUCGUGAAAGAUCAUGGCUUAACUGAGGGUUUGCGGUGGGUACGGGCUGGCUUGAGUGCAGUAGGGGAGGCUGGAAUGCCUGGUGUAGCGGUGGAAUGCGCAGAUAUCAGGAGGAAUACCGGUGGGGAGGGCGGGUCUCUGGGCUGUUACUGACACUGAGGAGCGAAAGCAUGGGGAGCGAACAGG
rnacentral:rRNA from 1 species